AGAGACUUAAGUGACUUGACUGCCUCAAUUGUAAAAUUAUGAACCGCAUGAUUUCGUAUUGUUUCGUCGUCUUACACAUCAAUUCGCGUAUUUUAGAGGCCGCUUCUUAGAAGAACCGCUUCAACUGUCAGCAAGAAGAUUUUAGUUGAUGUCCUACACGGAUUUCAAGUGUUUCUAAACGAUGCCACGUUCUGAAGCGAUUCUGUCUGUGUUACCCCUUAUCGGUAUCGUUAAUCUCUGUUUCUUCGCAAUGGCUCGUUACCCAGGCUGACUAUGCAUACGCCGGGUGCCCUCAAAGACUGUUUUAGGCUUCAUGGGCCAGAUAGAUAUUUCCCUCGAAUCUCUCUUUCCAUUCUCACCCAAAGUACACAGAGUUACUCGAUAGGCCAGAAAGAAUGUCAUUGUGAGCUGUACUUCCAAUCUCACUCAAGACAUGUGUCAAGUACCACAUGGUAACUUAGGAACAACUUCCAUCAGGCUAUUCGAGGUGUUUUCCUGAGACAGACCAUCUCGAGUACGUGUAUCCAAGGUCCAUAUUUGAGACAUCAAAUUUUGUUAAAGGAUGCCU